GACGAACGCUGGCGGCGUGCCUAAUACAUGCAAGUCGAACGAACUCUGGUAUUGAUUGGUGCUUGCAUCAUGAUUUACAUUUGAGUGAGUGGCGAACUGGUGAGUAACACGUGGGAAACCUGCCCAGAAGCGGGGGAUAACACCUGGAAACAGAUGCUAAUACCGCAUAACAACUUGGACCGCAUGGUCCGAGUUUGAAAGAUGGCUUCGGCUAUCACUUUUGGAUGGUCCCGCGGCGUAUUAGCUAGAUGGUGGGGUAACGGCUCACCAUGGCAAUGAUACGUAGCCGACCUGAGAGGGUAAUCGGCCACAUUGGGACUGAGACACGGCCCAAACUCCUACGGGAGGCAGCAGUAGGGAAUCUUCCACAAUGGACGAAAGUCUGAUGGAGCAACGCCGCGUGAGUGAAGAAGGGUUUCGGCUCGUAAAACUCUGUUGUUAAAGAAGAACAUAUCUGAGAGUAACUGUUCAGGUAUUGACGGUAUUUAACCAGAAAGCCAUGGCUAACUACGUGCCAGCAGCCGCGGUAAUACGUAGGUGGCAAGCGUUGUCCGGAUUUAUUGGGCGUAAAGCGAGCGCAGGCGGUUUUUUUAGUCUGAUGUGAAAGCCUUCGGCUCAACCGAAGAAGUGCAUCGGAAACUGGGAAACUUGAGUGCAGAAGAGGACAGUGGAACUCCAUGUGUAGCGGUGAAAUGCGUAGAUAUAUGGAAGAACACCAGUGGCGAAGGCGGCUGUCUGGUCUGUAACUGACGCUGAGGCUCGAAAGUAUGGGUAGCAAACAGGAUUAGAUACCCUGGUAGUCCAUACCGUAAACGAUGAAUGCUAAGUGUUGGAGGGUUUCCGCCCUUCAGUGCUGCAGCUAACGCAUUAAGCAUUCCGCCUGGGGAGUACGGCCGCAAGGCUGAAACUCAAAGGAAUUGACGGGGGCCCGCACAAGCGGUGGAGCAUGUGGUUUAAUUCGAAGCUACGCGAAGAACCUUACCAGGUCUUGACAUACUAUGCAAAUCUAAGAGAUUAGACGUUCCCUUCGGGGACAUGGAUACAGGUGGUGCAUGGUUGUCGUCAGCUCGUGUCGUGAGAUGUUGGGUUAAGUCCCGCAACGAGCGCAACCCUUAUUAUCAGUUGCCAGCAUUAAGUUGGGCACUCUGGUGAGACUGCCGGUGACAAACCGGAGGAAGGUGGGGAUGACGUCAAAUCAUCAUGCCCCUUAUGACCUGGGCUACACACGUGCUACAAUGGAUGGUACAACGAGUUGCGAACUCGCGAGAGUAAGCUAAUCUCUUAAAGCCAUUCUCAGUUCGGAUUGUAGGCUGCAACUCGCCUACAUGAAGUCGGAAUCGCUAGUAAUCGCGGAUCAGCAUGCCGCGGUGAAUACGUUCCCGGGCCUUGUACACACCGCCCGUCACACCAUGAGAGUUUGUAACACCCAAAGUCGGUGGGGUAACCUUUUAGGAACCAGCCGCCUAAGGUGGGACAGAUGAUUAGGGUGAAG
rnacentral:rRNA from 1 species